GAUGAAGAACGUAGCGAAAUGCGAUAAGUGGUGUGAAUUGCAGAAUUCAGUGAAUCAUCGAAUCUUUGAACGCACAUUGCGCCCCUCGGUAUUCCGUGGGGCAUGCCUGUUCGAGCGUCAUCUACACCCUCAAGCUCUGCUUGGUGUUGGGCGUCUGUCCCGCCUCCGCGCGUGGACUCGCCCCAAAUUCAUUGGCAGCGGUCCUUGCCUCCUCUCGCGCAGCACAUUGCGCUUCUCGAGGGGCUACGGCUCGCGUCCAACAAGCACAUUUACCGUCUUUGACCUCGGAUCAGGUAGGGAUACCCGCUGAACUUAAGCAUAUCAAUAAGCGGAGGA
rnacentral:misc_RNA from 1 species